GUGCUCUUUUCUCGCUCCCCGGAGAACCUCUUUACCGCUGCCCCACCAUCUCCCCCCCUCGUAUCUGGCACAUCAGGUCCGGCACCACCACCGCAUCAUCGGAUCCGGUGCCGUUCUGCGUGCCAUUCGCCUUGUUGGCGGAGUGAUGGCGGCGGUGACCUGCGUUGAUUGGGGAUUAGGCCGUGCAGCUUCGGCGAACAAGGCUCCUCGCGCGCGGAUGACGACGGUGCAGUGGCCCUGCAGUUUGCUUUGCAGGGGCUCCAUUGAUGCGGCCAUGGAGUUCGGCUCACAGUUUUGUCGGUGACACUGGAGCCUUGUAGUCCACUGACUCCGGGGUGAGUAGUGUAGAGGACACGGGUGUGCAGCUCCCCGUCCCUGUAGUUGUCCACUGAACAUGUAGAAGCCCAUCUUGCUGCAGUGUAUGUGAGCAUAUGGCCUGCAAGUGCUGCUCUUCAUUCCAGAUUGCAAAACAUUGAGGUGUGGUUCGAUGGCCAUCGACGUUGGUGCGGACGUGCAUUUUUGGCGCAACUCGUUUUCUUUCCUAUCAUAUUUUCCUACACUUCAGAGCUUUUGCAAAAAAUGAUUGGUGUAGGUGCUCAAACAGUGCAGCUCAAGCCUCGCGGCUGUGUUGUUGACUGUGUGACUGUGGCCACCUUCUACUAUGGCACGUACCUCCCAACUUGGCCCAGCCUCCAAUGCCUCCUUCCUGACCAUUCGCAAGGUGAAGCCGCCUCCUAUUUUGCAGGGGUGUGUGCGUGCAGUACGGCAGCCGCAAUGGUGCAGUCCGGCGGGGUAGCGUGUGCAGUGCUCAUCUGAUGCGAUUCGGUUUUUGUAUUGUGUUUAGUUUUACAGUGUGGUGCAACUCACUCUUUUUGUUUUGCAGCUCACUCUUGUUUUGUUUUGCAGCUCACUCUUUUUUUCUUCUGAAAAUCAUUUGCAGUGCACUCAGAGAAGAGAACAUCGAUAAGAGAACAUCUAUGUUCAUUUUAAGUUUGAUUUGUUGUUUAUGGGAAACACAUAGAGAAAAGGGUAGUAAGAAUGGAUGGUCAUUUUGUAUAAGAAAGUCUUUCCCUAGUGGAGUUUUGUUGGGUACUGCAUCGUUGAUUCUGUUGUGUACUAGAUGGUUGUGUGGUUGUGUAAAAAAUAAUGGAUGGAUAUGUAUGUUUUUGAA